rnacentral:piRNA from 2 species
UCCAGCAAGAGUCCCCAGCUGAGGCACCAGA